rnacentral:rRNA from 1 species
AUUGAACGCUGGCGGCAUGCCUUACACAUGCAAGUCGAACGGUAACGGGUCCUUCGGGAUGCCGACGAGUGGCGAACGGGUGAGUAUAUAUCGGAACGUGCCCAGUAGUGGGGGAUAACUGCUCGAAAGAGCAGCUAAUACCGCAUACGACCUGAGGGUGAAAGGGGGGGAUCGCAAGACCUCUCGCUAUUGGAGCGGCCGAUAUCAGAUUAGCUAGUUGGUGGGGUAAAGGCCUACCAAGGCAACGAUCUGUAGUUGGUCUGAGAGGACGACCAGCCACACUGGGACUGAGACACGGCGCAGACUCCUACGGGAGGCAGCAGUGGGGAAUUUUGGACAAUGGGCGCAAGCCUGAUCCAGCAAUGCCGCGUGCAGGAAGAAGGCCUUCGGGUUGUAAACUGCUUUUGUCAGGGAAGAAAUCUUCUGGGCUAAUACCCCGGGAGGAUGACGGUACCUGAAGAAUAAGCACCGGCUAACUACGUGCCAGCCGCCGCGGUAA